rnacentral:misc_RNA from 1 species
GAUGAAGAACGUAGUGAAAUGCGAUAAGUAAUGCGAAUUGCAGAAUUUCCGUGAGUCAUCGAAUCUUUGAACGCACAUUGCGCCCACUGGUAUUCCGGUGGGCAUGCCUGUUCGAGCGUCAUUAUCCUCCCUCAAACCCCGGGUUUGGUGUUGGACCCAAGUUGUGUGAACAACUGGUCUUAAAGACAAUGACGGCGUCCGUGGGACCCUCGGUGCAACGAGCUUUUAGGAGCACGCAUCGAGUUGCAAGGACCUUCCGGGCCGGUCUCCUUUACUAUUUUACAAGGUUGACCUCGGAUCAGGUAGUAAUACCCGCUGAACUUAAGCAUAUCAAUAAGCGGAGGA